rnacentral:rRNA from 1 species
GGCGUUAUCUUGCGCGGCCCGGGUAUAGGUCCGUUGGAACGCGGCAUCAUGGAGGGUGAGAAUCCCGUCUGUGACUCGGGUAGACUCGCGCAUGUACGUUACGCUUCCAAAGAGUCGGGUUGUUUGGGAAUGCAGCCCAAAAAUGGGUGGUAAAUUUCAUCCAAGGCUAAAUAUAGGCACGAGACCGAUAGCGAACAAGUACCGUGAGGGAAAGAUGAAAAGAACUUUGAAAAGAGAGUCAAAAAGUACGUGAAACCGUUAAAAGGGAAACGAAUGGAGCUAGCAUUUGUACCGAAUUUAUUGGCGUAAUCAGCCGGGAGCCUUUGCGGCAUCGCCGUCCGUUUAUUUUUAAUAAUAGGGAACGUCGUAACUGGCGUCCCGCGGUCGCGGCGUGCGUCGGCAAGGGCUACCGGUGCACUUGCGUUUUUUUUUAACCCGGUACAGGCCAACGUCGGUUCGGAGCGGGACAGAAAGUCGUCAAGGAGUGUGGUCGCGGGGAAGCUCAUUUAUUUGGGUAUUAUUUUCCGGCGGCUUUUUGCCUUGACGGGUACGGAAUCUUAGAUUCCCGAAAGAACGUCCCGAGCUGGACCGAGGAGCAGCAGCGCGCCUGUCUACGUGACAGUGAAGUCCGCUCUACCAAUCGCCGGAGCCGCGAGGGAAAGGUCGGUGGGGGCGAAACGCCACCCGUUAAGCCAUCUUUUCAUCGUCGGGGGAAGAGGAGAGGUUAAAUGCUCUUUUUUCUAACUUCUGAAAGCGGGGAGACAACCGGAUACGCGCCGUCAUGACGUUGGCGAAAUGGCUUCAUCCGACCCGUCUUGAAACACGGACCAAGGAGUCUAACAUACGCGCGAGUCUUUGGGUGGAAAACCCGCGGGCGCAAUGAAAGUAAAAAUCCGGCGGGCAAUUCCUUCGGGGAUCGUUCGCUUAGGUGAGAAGCUUGGCCCACCGCCUUAUAGGGGUGGGAUAGAGCCGCAUCAUCGACCGGUCACUAUGGGUUCUAUUUUAUAAAACCCGAACGAUCGAGUAGGAGCGUGUCUGUUGGGACCCGAAAGAUGGUGAACUAUGCCUGAACAGGGUGAAGUCUGAGGAAACUCAGAUGGAAGCUCGUAGCGAUUCUGACGUGCAAAUCGAUCGUCUGAUUUGGGUAUAGGGGCGAAAGACUAAUCGAACCAUCUAGUAGCUGGUUCCCUCCGAAGUUUCCCUCAGGAUAGCUGGAACCGUAAAGCAGUUUUAUCAGGUAAAGCGAAUGAUUAGAGGCCUUGGGGUUGAAAUAACCUCAACCUAUUCUCAAACUUUAAAUAGGUAAGAAGUCCGACUUGCUUAAUUUGCGUCCUCUCGAAAUAUUUUUUGGGAGGCGCUGAAGUCCGGACAUCGAAUGCGAAGUUCCAAGUGGGCCAUUUUUGGUAAGCAGAACUGGCGAUGCGGGAUGAACCGAACGCAAAGUUAAAGUGCCAAAAUUCACGCUCACCCAGAACCCAGAAAAGGUGUUGGCCGAUAGAGACAGCAGGACGGUGGCCAUGGAAGUCGGAAUCCGCCAAGGAGUGUGUAACAACUCACCUGCCGAAUCGGCCAGCCCUGAAAAUGGAUGGCGCUCAAGCGUGAUACUUAUACUUUGCCGUUUCGGCAAAAUGGCUGUGGAAGGCCCAGUUCCUUUCUGCCAAUUUUUACGCCGAAACGAGUAGGAGGGCGUGGAGGUAAAUGGUGAAGAAGCUUUCGGCGCGAGCCGGAGUGAAACUGCC